AGACUCAUCCUACGGGAGACAGCAGUAGGGAAUCUUCCACAAUGGACGAAAGUCUGAUGGAGCAACGCCGCGUGAGUGAAGAAGGGUUUCGGCUCGUAAAGCUCUGUUGGUAGUGAAGAAAGAUAGAGGUAGUAACUGGCCUUUAUUUGACGGUAAUUACUUAGAAAGUCACGGCUAACUACGUGCC
rnacentral:rRNA from 1 species